GAUUUGCAGCCUAAUGAGGGGAGGCAUUGCUGAGCGGGGUGGUGUUCGUGUUGGUCACCGUAUCAUUGAAAUUAAUGGUAUGAGUGUAGUAGCAACACCUCAUGAAAAAAUUGUAGAUAUAUUAGCCACAGCUGUAGGAGAGAUUCAUAUGAAGACAAUGCCCCUAUCCAUGUAUCGAUUGUUAACCGGACAAGAACAGCCUGCAUUUCUCUAGUACAGAUUUAAUAUAUGCCGUUAUUGAAGUUGUAAUGUGUUAACUAUAAGUCUCCACAUGGGAUGUAUUCAAUGUGGAUGAAAGUUUACUGAGCAAAAAAAAAAAAAAUUGGGUGGGUCAAUAUGGAAUUUGUGCUGCCCACACCUGCCAGAUACGGUUAGUUCGUUAGCAUAUUACAACUUUACUUUGUACAGUUACUUGUGAAAUGUUGGUACAUUGUAAUAUACUUUAUUAAUGUAAGAUGGUAGGUGCUGUUUGCCUUCAGCAAUGUAUUGAUUGAUAUGGACAAAUGAAUGAGUGACAAGGCUUGAACUUGUGCGAAUUGAAUCCAUGUUAGUGAAUAAAAAGCGCCGCUGCAGUAAACUCUAUACAGAUUGUUAACUGUGUCUUUCAUGUUUAAUAUUCAAGGAACAAUUUUGUUAUUUCUGACUGACAAUUUUGUUUUGUUUUCACAUUACUGAUAAACUAUUAUAAAUUUAUGGCUUGAAAUUUAGGUCUAGAAAUACAGUAUUUAUGUAUACCGAUAAUUAAAAAAACUAUUUAGAAUGUGCAAAGUGACUAUCAGUGAGGUGUCACCUGAGGGUUGAGUACACCAUCAAGUAGCUAUACUAAGUGAAUUUCAUUGAUCAACAAAGCAUUAAAGGUUUCCAAUGUGUUGUUAUUUGUGGUUAAGAGAUUCCUUGUGGAAAGUGAAAAAAAGAACAAGUGCUGUCCAACGGUGUGCUUCCAUACUGCCCAGUGAGAUUAUCAUUGUGUUUAGUGGCCUCAUUUCCAUCAAUCUUUUCCAAGUGCCUUUUCCUUUUUAAUUCAAUGUACAUGUAAGUAUUUUCAAUACUGUACAAAAGUGAAAUAGUGGUGUUUAUUUAAUGAUGACUGUCUGCAACCAAUCAACUAACAUAUUGUGCUGUGCUGAUUUAGGCAACAAAUAUCUUAAUUUGAUUCUGCAGUGUAAACUUUUAAUGUUGUCAUGUCAUGUCUUGGCUAAAAACUUGUUUUUGAUACAUUGUAAUUUUAGUCAAACCCAGCAGGGAUUAAUAUAGAUAGCUUUCACAUAAAUAAUUGCAUGUAAGUUAUUGAACAAAUAUUUGCAAUAUAAUAGCUGUACAUUGUUGGGUAGCUAUUAUAGACUAUUUUGGGUAGCAGUAAAAUAUAGUGACACAAUUGGGUACCUUUAAAAAUUUUAGUUCUGUGAAAGAUUUGUAAUAAUUGCUUUGUUUCCAUGGAAACUAGGCACAUCCAAUUUAUAAAAUAUUAGUGUUUUGUGCCUGAAAUUUUCAGAAUUAAGAAAACAAAUGUAUAAUCAUGACUUGCAAUUUAUCGUAUAUAUUUGAUGGUUAGCAAUUUAAAAAUAAUUUUUGCGUUUAAUUUGCAUGUUACUUUAAUCUGAUAUUUCUAUGGAAAUUUUGUUCUUCCCUGUGCAUACACUUUUUUGGGGAAUUCUGAUUACUUCAUGUAAUGCAUCCUCUAAACCAAAAACAAAUAAAACAAUUUUAAAUGUGUUUUUAAUUACUGCUUUAUUCUAGUGACAGAAGAAAUAAGUUAACUGUGAGUUGUCCCCAACAAGCAUUGCAGUUGUUUGACUUCAUAUAAGGAAGUAGUGCAUCUAGCAAUAAAUGUUUUUAAAGUACACAGUGACUUGGGGAAAAUAAGAUUACCAUGUGAACAAUUAAAUUUACUGUUGCAUAUAUACCUUAACAAUGUCAGCCAACUGUAUAUGGAAAUGAAUAAAUAUUCGAUUAUUCCAGACACA